UGAGUAACGCGUGGGUAACCUGCCCUGUACACACGGAUAACAUACCGAAAGGUAUGCUAAUACGAGAUAAUAUGCUUUUAUCGCAUGGUAGAAGUAUCAAAGCUUUUGCGGUACAGGAUGGACCCGCGUCUGAUUAGCUAGUUGGUGAGGUAACGGCUCACCAAGGCGACGAUCAGUAGCCGUCCUGAGAGAGAGAUCGGCCACAUUGGAACUGAGACACGGUCCAAACUCGUGCGGGAGGCAGCAGUGGGGAAU
rnacentral:rRNA from 1 species